rnacentral:rRNA from 1 species
UACAGAGGAUGCAAGUGUUAUCCGGAAUUAUUGGGCGUAAAGCGUCUGCAGGUGGAUAUCUAAGUCCUUUGUUAAAACUUUAGGCUUAACCUAAAAUAGGCAAAAGAAACUAUUUAUCUUGAGUAUGAUAGGGGUAAAGAGAAUUUCCAGUGGAGCGGUGAAAUGUGUAGAUAUUGGAAAGAAUACCAAGAGCGAAAGCACUUUACUGGGUCAUUACUGACACUCAGAGACGAAAGCUAGGGGAGCAAACAGG